rnacentral:rRNA from 1 species
AUUGAACGCUGGCGGUAUGCUUAACACAUGCAAGUCGAACGGUAACAUAAGAGAGCUUGCUCCUCUGAUGGCGAGUGGCGGACGGGUGAGUAACAUAUAGGAAUCUACCUUAUAGACUGGGAUAACUACUCGAAAGAGUGGCUAAUACCGGAUGUGGAUUGAGGUUUAAAGCAGGGGACCUUCGGGCCUUGCGCUAUAAGAUGAGCCUAUACAAGAUUAGCUAGUUGGUGGGGUAAAGGCCUACCAAGGCGACGAUCUUUAGCUGGUUUGAGAGGAUGAUCAGCCACACUGGGACUGAGACACGGCCCAGACUCCUACGGGAGGCAGCAGUGGGGAAUAUUGGACAAUGGGGGGCAACCCUGAUCCAGCAAUACCGCGUGUGUGAAGAAGGCCCUAGGGUUGUAAAGCACUUUUGUUAGGGAGAAUGGCACUUAUAGCUAAUAACUAUAGGCGCUGAUGUUACCUAAAGAAUAAGCACCGGCUAACUCCGUGCCA